rnacentral:misc_RNA from 1 species
UUUCCGUAGGUGAACCUGCGGAAGGAUCAUUAAUGAGUUGUCAUGGGGUUCGAUGCUGGCAGCCAAUUUUUGGAUGCAUGUGCUUGCCCUAACAAUCAUCUUCCAAACACCUAUGCACAUUUUUGAGGGAGUCUUGAGUUGGUUGCCGCUCUUGGGUGAUUUUCUCACAUUCCCUUAAAUCAUUAUACGCUAUUAACAAUGUUGAACGUGCUCUGUGCCGCAAGGCUAUUAAUAUAAUACAACUUUUAACAACGGAUCUCUUGGCUCUCGCAUCGAAUGAAGAACGCAGC